UGGCGGACGGGUGAGUAACGCGUGGGUAACCUGCCCUGUACAGGGGGAUAACAGUCAGAAAUGACUGCUAAUACCGCAUAAGACCACAGCACCGCAUGGUGCAGGGGUAAAAACUACCGGUGGUACAGGAUGGACCCGCGUCUGAUUAGCUGGUUGGUGAGGUAACGGCUCACCAAGGCGACGAUCAGUAGCCGGCUUGAGAGAGUGAACGGCCACAUUGGGACUGAGACACGGCCCAAACUCCUACGGGAGGCAGCAUG
rnacentral:rRNA from 1 species